UUUUUUAGUCAUAUAGAAUAUCUUUCAAAAGGAUAUAAUGUAGCAUUGGAAUAAAAAGCUCCGGAGCAUUUAGAACAUGCAUUACAAAGUGAUGUAAUUAUAUUUUCUGGAAUAGAUUAUAGAAAUUUCAAAGCUCAAAGGCCUUUGUGUGACCAAUCCAUGUGAUGUCUUCUCCUUGGCAAAAACUUCAAGAUCUAUUUUAAAAUUUUAUUGAUGGCAAUUCUAAAAAUAACAAGUGAUCGUGAUCAUGAAUGUGGGUUUUGAAAAGAAGAAUAUCAUAGCAAGUCCAAAAUGAUUAAAGAGCAUCCUUCAAAGUUUCUUUUUUUUUUUUUCAGGGUCUUGCUUUGUCACCCAGGCUGGAGUGCAGUGGAGUGAUUACAGCUCACUGAAACCUACAAAUCCCAGGCUGAAGCAAUCCUCCUGGCUCAGCUUCCUGAAUAGCUAGGACUACAGGUGCUCGGGUGCUCACCAUCAUGCCCAGCUAAUCAAGGUUCUAAAUGUUGCCAAAAUUAAACUAUGGACUGAAAAAUUUCAAAAGUCUUCAGAACAAAAUAAGAUUUGGGGCUUCUUUCCUGGCGCAGCAGAAUACCAGACUCAAUACAUCCCAG
rnacentral:lncRNA from 1 species